CAGUCGAGGGGUAGAGGAAGCUUGCUUCCUUGAGACCGGCGCACGGGUGCGUAACGCGUAUGCAAUCUACCUUGUGCAGGGGGAUAGCCCAGAGAAAUUUGGAUUAAUACCCCAUAGUGUAGUUGAAUGGCAUCAUUUAAUUACUAAAGUUCCAACGGUACAAGAUGAGCAUGCGUCCUAUUAGCUAGUUGGUGUGGUAACGGCAUACCAAGGCUACGAUAGGUAGGGGUCCUGAGAGGGAGAUCCCCCACACUGGUACUGAGACACGGACCAGACUCCUACGGGAGGCAGCAGUGAGGAAUAUUGGACAAUGGGCGCAAGCCUGAUCCAGCCAUGCCGCGUGCAGGAAGAAGCAUCUAUGGUGUGUAAACUGCUUUUGUACGGGAAGAAACACUGCUACGUGUAGCAGCUUGACGGUACCGUAAGAAUAAGGAUCGGCUAACUCCGUGCCAGCAGCCGCGGUAAUACGGAGGAUCCAAGCGUUAUCCGGAAUCAUUGGGUUUAAAGGGUCCGUAGGCGGUCUGAUAAGUCAGUGGUGAAAGCCCAUCGCUUAACGAUGGAACGGCCAUUGAUACUGUCAGACUUGAAUUACUGGGAAGUAACUAGAAUAUGUAGUGUAGCGGUGAAAUGCUUAGAUAUUACAUGGAAUACCAAUUGCGAAGGCAGGUUACUACCAGUUGAUUGACGCUGAUGGACGAAAGCGUGGGGAGCGAACAGGAUUAGAUACCCUGGUAGUCCACGCCGUAAACGAUGGAUACUAGCUGUUCGGAGCAAUCUGAGUGGCUAAGCGAAAGUGAUAAGUAUCC
rnacentral:rRNA from 1 species